rnacentral:rRNA from 1 species
GAUCAUUAGUGAAGCAUGGGGCUUGCCAUACGGACGCGACUGCGUCUCUGGCGCCCACCACUAUAUAUCCACACCCACCCCUGUGCACUGUGAUGGCGUCGAGCCAUCGACCACAAACACUCGUAUGGUUGCAUGUACGUGAAUGGUAGGGUUGUCCUACAAACUAUACACAACUUUCGACAACGGAUCUCUUGGUUCUCCCAUCGAUGAAGAACGCAGCGAAACGCGAUAGGUAAUGUGAAUUGCAGAAUUCCGUGAAUCAUCGAAUCUUUGAACGCACCUUGCGCUCCAUGGUAUUCCGUGGAGCAUGCCUGUUUGAGUGCCGCGAAUUCUCCCUCCCCAUGCGGUGGCCGAAAGGCCGUAGUGUGGCGGACGGGGUAGGAUGGGCGUCGCUGCCUGGGAAGCCAGGCUCGCCCGAAAUGCAUAAGCGCCAGGACCCUCGCUUCCACCCUCUAGGGACGGGUGGCUGGGCGACCGCUGAGCAUGGCAUGAUACGUCAUUUGCUGUGUGUGGGCGGCCGGCUGGAGAGGCGUCUGCUUUGUAUACAGCCCUUUUUGAUUCUGGUCUCAAAUCAGGUAGGAUCACCCGCUGAACUUAAGCAUAUCAAUAAGCGGGAGGA